GUGCCAGCCGCCGCGGUAAUACGUACCGUCCAAACGUUAUUCGGAAUUACUGGGCUUAAAGGGUAUGUAGGCGGCGCUGUUAGUCGGGUGUGAAAUCCCUCGGCUCAACCGAGGAAUUGCGCCCGAUACUGCAGUGCUUGAGGGAGACAGAGGUAAGCGGAACUGAUGGUGGAGCGGUGAAAUGCGUUGAUAUCAUCAGGAACACCGGUGGCGAAAGCGGCUUACUGGGUCUCUUCUGACGCUGAGAUACGAAAGCUAGGGUAGCGAAGGGGAUUAGAAACCCUCGUAGUCC
rnacentral:rRNA from 1 species